rnacentral:rRNA from 1 species
GACGAACGCUGGAGGCGUGCCUAAUACAUGCAAGUAGAACGCAGUUGCGAACGGGUGAGUAACGCGUAGGUAACUGCCUCAUAGCGGGGGAUAACGAUUGGAAACGAUAACUAAUACCGCAUACACUGAGAUGGAUCGUCGUUGUAUUAGAUAGUUGGUGAGGUGAAGGCCCACCAAGGCGACGAUACAUAGCCGACCUGAGAGGGUGGUCAGCAAAACUGGGAUGGAGACACGGGCCUGUCUCCUACGGGAGGCAGCACUCGGGAAACUUAGGAAAUGGACUGAAGUCUGACCGAGAAACGCCCGGUGAGUGAAGGAGGUUUUCGGAUCCUAAAGCUCUGUUGUGUGAGCAGCGGUAACAACCUAGAAAGGUGCGGCUAACUACGUGCCAGCAGCCGCGGUAAUAC